rnacentral:rRNA from 1 species
AUUGAACGCUGGCGGCAGGCCUAACACAUGCAAGUCGAGCGGUAGAGAGAAGCUUGCUUCUCUUGAGAGCGGCGGACGGGUGAGUAAUGCCUAGGAAUCUGCCUGGUAGUGGGGGAUAACGUUCGGAAACGGACGCUAAUACCGCAUACGUCCUACGGGAGAAAGCAGGGGACCUUCGGGCCUUGCGCUAUCAGAUGAGCCUAGGUCGGAUUAGCUAGUUGGUGGGGUAAUGGCUCACCAAGGCGACGAUCCGUAACUGGUCUGAGAGGAUGAUCAGUCACACUGGAACUGAGACACGGUCCAGACUCCUACGGGAGGCAGCAGUGGGGAAUAUUGGACAAUGGGCGAAAGCCUGAUCCAGCCAUGCCGCGUGUGUGAAGAAGGUCUUCGGAUUGUAAAGCACUUUAAGUUAGGAGGAAGGGCCAUUACCUAAUACGUGAUGGUUUUGACGUUACCGACAGAAUAAGCACCGGCUAACUCUGUGCCAGCAGCCGCGGUAAUACAGAGGGUGCAAGCGUUAAUCGGAAUUACUGGGCGUAAAGCGCGCGUAGGUGGUUUGUUAAGUUGGAUGUGAAAUCCCCGGGCUCAACCUGGGAACUGCAUUCAAAACUGACUGACUAGAG